UCAGGAUGAACGCUAGCGGCAGGCUUAACACAUGCAAGUCGAGGGGCAUCGGGAGUAGCAAUACUUGCCGGCGACCGGCGCGAGGGUGCGUAACGCGUGAGCAACAUGCCCGUAUCAGGGGGGAUAAUCCAUGGAAACGUGGUCUAAUACCCCAUAGUAAUUAUGUAAGGCAUCUUAUAUAAUUUAAAGCUUUGGUGGAUACGGAUUGGCUCGCGUGACAUUAGCUAGAUGGUAAGGUAACGGCUUACCAUGGCUACGAUGUCUAGGGGUUCUGAGAGGAAGGUCCCCCACACUGGAACUGAGACACGGUCCAGACUCCUACGGGAGGCAGCAGUGAGGAAUAUUGGACAAUGGAUGGAAAUCUGAUCCAGCCAUGCCGCGUGCAAGGAAGACGGCCCUAUGGGUUGUAAACUGCUUUUGUAUGGGAGCAAUAAGGGCUACGCGUAGUCCGAUGAGAGUACCAUACGAAUAAGCACCGGCUAACUCCGUGCCAGCAGCCGC
rnacentral:rRNA from 1 species